rnacentral:rRNA from 1 species
AUUGAACGCUGGCGGCAGGCCUAACACAUGCAAGUCGAACGGUAACAGGAAGCAGCUUGCUGCUUUGCUGACGAGUGGCGGACGGGUGAGUAAUGUCUGGGAAACUGCCUGAUGGAGGGGGAUAACUACUGGAAACGGAAGCUAAUACCGCAUAACGUCGCAAGACCAAAGAGGGGGACCUUCGGGCCUCUUGCCAUCGGAUGUGCCCAGAUGGGAUUAGCUAGUAGGUGGGGUAACGGCUCACCUAGGCGACGAUCCCUAGCUGGUCUGAGAGGAUGACCAGCCACACUGGAACUGAGACACGGUCCAGACUCCUACGGGAGGCAGCAGUGGGGAAUAUUGCACAAUGGGCGCAAGCCUGAUGCAGCCAUGCCGCGUGUAUGAAGAAGGCCUUCGGGUUGUAAAGUACUUUCAGCGGGGAGGAAGGGAGUAAAGUUAAUACCUUUGCUCAUUGACGUUACCCGCAGAAGAAGCACCGGCUAACUCCGUG